GAUGAACGCUGACAGAAUGCUUAACACAUCAGCAAUUGAUUGGUGGCGGUCGGGUGAGUAACGCGUAAAGCACUUGCCUCACAGGUAGGUACCAGAUUUGGAAACGAAUGCUUAUCCCUUAUACUGUGACAGAGCUUUGCGUCCCAUUUUCUCGUUGGAGAGGUAACGGCUCACCAAGGUGAUGAUGGGUAUCCGGCCUGAGAGGGUGAUAGGACACAAGGGAACGUGGAACCGGCCCUUACGGAUACGGGAGGCAGAAGUGGGGAAUAGUGGAAAAUGGACCAAAGUCUGAUCAAGCAAUUCUGGGGGCACGAUGAAGUUUUCGGAAUGAAAAGUGCUUUCAGUGGGGAAGCGGUACCAACAGAAGAAGUGACGGCUAAAUACGUGCCAGCAGCCGCGGUAAUAC
rnacentral:rRNA from 1 species